UGGGGAAUAUUGGACAAUGGGCGCAAGCCUGAUCCAGCAAUGCCGCGUGAGUGAUGAAGGCCUUAGGGUUGUAAAGCUCUUUCGCACGCGACGAUGAUGACGGUAGCGUGAGAAGAAGCCCCGGCUAACUUCGUGCCAGCAGCCGCGGUAAUACGAAGGGGGCUAGCGUUGUUCGGAAUUACUGGGCGUAAGGGCGCGUAGGCGGCCUGUUUAGUCAGAAGUGAAAGCCCCGGGUCUCAACCUGGGAAUAGCUUUUGAUACUGGCAGGCUUGAGUUCCGGAGAGGAUGGUGGAAUUCCCAGUGUAGAGGUGAAAUUCGUAGAUAUUGGGAAGAACACCGGUGGCGAAGGCGGCCAUCUGGACGGACACUGACGCUGAGGCGCGAAAGCGUGGGGAGCAAACAGGAUUAGAUACCCUUUGGUAGUCCACGCCGUAAACGAUGAAUGCUAGACGUCGGGGUGCAUGCACUUCGGUGUCGCCGCUAACGCAUUAAGCAUUCCGCCUGGGGAGUAC
rnacentral:rRNA from 1 species